UCGGAAUCUGCGGGAGAGAGAGGCGGCAUAUCGCCUCCGCCGAAGGCGCAAACUCCCAUAAUCGCUCAGGCAUGCCGAACCGCAGAAACAUU
rnacentral:ncRNA from 2 species